GCUGCAUUCCAAGAGCAUGUGGGCAGACAGGGCACCUUCCUUUUUGGCAUAGACAUUCUAACAGCAGCAGACUACUUCACAGUUGGUAACCUGAAUAACUGCUACUUAAUUAUCAGUGUCUACAUUGCUGGUUUUGAGGAAUAUACACCAAACCCUUAAUUGACCACUUGGUGGCUAUGAUAGUCAGUCACUGGGAUGGGGUGAUCAGAGAGCUGGCCACAAAAGCUCUGCACAAUCUAACUAUCUGGGCUCCUGAAUGCAUGGCCAACACUGUCUGUGGCCUUAUUGAAAAUCUCUCUCCCUCUCCAAGAUGCCUUUUGAAGAUGACCCAGUUACCAGGGAGUCAACCAAACCUCUUUAUAUUUGCAUUUUUAAAAAUCUUUUAUCAUUUUAACUGCUGUAUUUUUCUGUUUGCUUGGUUUUUAUCUUGUUAUUUUAACUCUAGUGACUCUUAUUUUAUCACAUCUCUGUAUUUGCCAUAAAGAUAAACUUAGAUGCUAACAUGGCGAUCAGAAUACAUAACUACUACUACUACUGCUUCCACAAAUGUCUCACGGAGGAGUGAUUGUUUCAUGGAUUUGAGUUCAUCUACAUUCUGGUUUCUUGCAGCUGGUUGGCACUGGCUAAAAGAGACAGCUUGAAGACGAAUGCACUUUAAACAAUGGGAGCGAUUAAUGUUUGUGAUUUUGAUAUGAAAUUCUGAAUAAGUACUUGGGUGUGUUUUUGGGUGUACACAUACUUUUGGCAAUUUAUUGUUUGUUUACAUCCAUUUGUUGCCAUACAGAUCAGCUGGUUAGUCAAUACCUGUCGGCCCUGGAGAGUCCCGAGGUUCUGACACGCUGUGGCUGCGUUUGUCGCACCUGCUCAAGUCCGUAUCUGAACUUGUUCCCUAGAUGUUGCCUGGGCUCCAGGCCGCCUGUAAGGUAGUGCAGAAAGGGGAAAGUCUAACAGAAGCCAGGAGGGAUGUGGUCACAGCCAUGUCUCAGUGAGAAACACCUUUUUAUGUCUCCUUUGCACUUGAAGAACCAGUCUGCCUGAGCUUAAGCUCGGUCAACGCCUGCUACUUCCUGCAGGACCUGAAAUUCAUGUCUCAGUUCACUGCUUUGUCCCAUCUUGCAUUGCAUGUCCAUGUGUCCUGUGCUUUCUUGUGCUUCUCAGGGUGUGUGUAGAUGUAGGAGUGUGUGCGUGAGGCAGCUCCAACCGUGUCCUGUGUGAGGACAACAUAAGGCCUGUGUAUGAAGCCUUGCUGGGCUGUAUGAACGACUACAGCAUGGACAGCUGAGGGGUCGUAGGGGCCUGGUACGUUCACAUGCCUUUAUAGAGGUGCAUACUUGUGUUGCACAAUUUGUAAUAGUAUCAAGUCAAGUCACCUCUAUUUAUAUAGUGCUUUAUACAAUACAGAUUAGAAACGUCAUCAUACAGCUCAGUUCAGUUCUGUAAAAAUAGUGUCUGUGCAAUAAUAUUGCAAGAAAUGAAGUGUCCCCAACUAAUCAAGCCAAGGGCGACAGUGGCAAGGAACCAAAACUCCAUCGGUGACAGAAAUGGAGAAAAAAACCUUGGGAGAAACCAAGUUCAAAAAAGGACUAAAUGUAUGUGUAAAUUAUUAUUAUUAUUAUUAUUAUUAUUAUUAAUAUAUUAUUAUGUAGUUGUAUUAGUUUGUUUCA
ensembl:lncRNA